rnacentral:lncRNA from 1 species
GUUUUUAAAAACAAGUGAUAUUUGAUAUAAAAAUUGCAGGAAAACAAUUAUGCUGGUUUAUGUUAUGUUGGAAUAAUUCACUUGUUGUUACCCAGCCUGUUAGUAUAAUUGGGCACAUUGCAACUUAUGGAAGGUCUCUACUGCCAGCCUCUUUUCUGUAAUUCAUUAGCAUCAAGUUUCUGCUUUAACCUAUAACUUAUUAAAACUACAGAUCUUCAUAAUUUCAGUGGAGAGUCCCCAUGCUGAACAAUAAAAGCCUUGGAAUCCUUUAUCCUGUGGACUGAGAUGGAGAGAGAAAGUGAUGAUGCAAGGCAUGGGGAUGGAAGGUGAAACAUCAUCUGGGUUUGUUAAAGGACAUGACUGCUGCAUAUGUCAGUAUUUUGGUCCCUAUCAGUAUUUUGGUCCCAGCAACAGUGGAUUCCAGCUUGUCUGGUCAAUAGGCCUGAAAUAGUCACUUACUACAGUGCUCCUAGGUGUAAAUUAUUUUCAAAUCAGAUUGGUCUCAGUAACACAAAUCGCUAUGUGUAGCCCCUAGCUUGGUUUUCAAUCUUUGUAUAAUCCAGAUGGAUUCUAUUUACAGUCAAAUGAUGAGGAGCAGUAUCUGUCUAGGGUGUGACAUUGUGUGCUAGGAUGGACCUAUGAACAGCAUCAUGGAAAGGGACUUUAUUCAGACAGAUGCUGAGGAAAGGAUGCAGUGUAUGGUUGGAUCUGAGGAACUUAUGGUUCCUGAGAUCAGGGGGCCCUUAGCAGCCAUGCUGUUCUCAGCCUUCUCAUUCCACCACACUGAACCAAUUUCAGCUCUUUAGCAGAUUUUGGCUUUGCUCUGCUUGUUGUAUCUGGGAGGGGAGAAUAAGAGAGACAGUGCACAUUGUGCAUAGGACUUUACUCUGAGGGACCUCAGGGAGAAGCCAGUGGGUAGACUUCUGGAGGGCUAUGGGAAUUUGUUGGCAUCAGAAAUGCAGAAAGGACUGCAAUGGGACUUCAAAAGAAGUUAUUGGUACCACAGAAGAAAUCCACUCACAAAUCCACUUCAGCGCAACGUUGAGCAACAUGGAAUUGGUUUAUCCUAUUAGAUUUGCCCUAAAGUGCCUACAGGAAUCCUUUGACUUCAUGUCCCAUUAUGCACCUCAGGAUGUGUGAAUGCAGUUUUGUCACCAUGACCCUUUCUCACAGUGCACCAUAGCAUGCAGAGCUCAGAGAGUUCUUCCUGAGCUCCAGAGGAUGGCACAGGAUGAGACACAAAAACCACUCUGCAGAAACACCACAAUUGUCUCAGGCAGGAGUCUUGGUGUUACUGAGUAUUUGUUUGAAGGGAUUUAGUAUGGUCUUUGUUGCUCAUUUGACUUAUUUCCUUACAUGUUCCCAAGCCAAGUUCUACAUUACUCACUGCAGGAAAGUGGUGCGUCAAGAAGAUUUAGUGUGAAACAGAGGAUCACAAAGAAUUAUCAUGAGAGAGUUAUGCAGGAACUAUUGUCAUUAUCUGCAAAAAGAUUGAAGACCCAAGGCAGCUUUUCUGUAGCAAAUGGGAUUUGUGAAAAACUCUACAUUUGAAAAUAAUGUACUAUGUCUGGAAACGGUAAAAUUUGGCUGCUACAAAAUUGUGAAAAUCCGGAUACUUCUUUGAAUACACUUUUAAGAUUAGAAGCCUUAGAAAAGCAUGCACAAGAUUAACAAUGCAAUAUAGAUCUCAUUUUUACUUUUCAGAUUUUAAAAGCAGUUGUAAGAUGGUAUCUCAGAGGAGAAGAAAAAUCAUUAGUCACUUGGGC